rnacentral:rRNA from 1 species
UACGUAGGGUGCGAGCGUUAAUCGGAAUUACUGGGCGUAAAGCGUGCGCAGGUGGCCGCGCAAGUCGAGUGUGAAAUCCCCGAGCUUAACUUGGGAAUUGCGCUCGAAACUACGUGGCUCGAGUGUGGCAGAGGAAGGUGGAAUUCCACGUGUAGCGGUGAGAUGCGUAGAGAUGUGGAGGAACACCGAUGGCGAAGGCAGCCUUCUGGGCCAACACUGACGCUCAUGCACGAAAGCGAGGGGAGCGAACGGG